rnacentral:lncRNA from 1 species
CUUGUUCCUGUUCACUUGUCCUUGCAAUGAAGCAUCUGCUAGCUGGUUUUUGUGUUUGUCUGUUUGACAGGUUGGGUUUUUCACUGUUGUUAGAUUUUUGCACAAAUGCUCCAAUUCAAAACAUCAUCCUAUCGCCUUUUUUUAGUCGCUAAUUCCUCUUGUCCCUGUGGCUACAUCUCUAGGAUCUCAUUAACAAACUAGUUCUGUGCGCCCUUAACACUGAGGGCCCUCGUCUGCAGCAGGAGGCAGCUCUCUGCUCAGCCUGCAGCGCCGAGUGACACAGCCCGGCGACAUAGUCACCGAGCACUAACUUCUAUUAAAUGCAGGCAGACUGUGAGAACCCUAUUGGAACUGCGUCAGGACAUGAGAGAAGCAAAGGAGCCCAACCUCAUCAGUAUCUUUCCUUCGGGCAAUGUGACAAGGCUGGAUAUAAGUCAAUGACUCAAGUGGAUUUGAUUGCGUAAGAGGUUACACUCCCUUUCUGUGCUGCCAGAGGACUCUGACUUCUCUUUGUGCUUCCAGUGUCUACAGUAUCUGUCCCACAGGAAGUGCUCACUAACAUCCACCAAAUAAAUGGGUACGUUUUGAACUCUUAUUUUUAUAUGUAAGGAACAAUACUGUAUGAAAUGGCCCCAUUCUAUUUUUCC